GGGGGGCAGAGCCCUUUUAUUUUGCCCCUUUUCGGGCCUUUUUCCACCCAAAACGCGGCCCCUGUUGCGGAGAGAAGUGGGGUUACAGCACACAAAUACACUCUUUCCCUGCGUUGGCCGCUACGUUCCCUUUUUGGGUUCAAACGCUCAACUCUUGCCACUUACCACCAAAUUUAUUGAAGCCACCACGCUCACCACCGCUGAGGAGAUAAAUUAGAAGAUAUGAAGCUUUUUUUUUUGGGUUUUUUUUGUUUUUUUUUUUGGUUUUUCGUUCAUUUUAUGCUUUUGAAGGGGGGGGGGGGCAGUUUUAUAAUCCCUGAAUUGCUUUAUUUUGUUGUUAUUUUUUUUGGGGGGGGGUAAAACCGGCGUUUUUCCUCCAUCCUGAAGCCCCUCUGUGCUUUGUUUUGGGGGGGGGGGGGGGGGGGGGGGGGGGGCGGUUUUGGGGUAUUUUGGGGGGGGUUUUGGGGGUCUCCAUCCGUCGUUGACGCUCCUCUCGCACGCAGCGCUGCCCAAUGGGGGGGUGGGGUGGGAUUGGGUGGGAUUUUGGGGGGGGGGGGGGUCAGAAAAUGGCUAAAAACGCCGAUUGGAGCUCUUUGCGGCCGUUCUGAAGGAUCCCUGCGGGGCACCUUUGGGCCCGGCGUACAAAAAGGCUUUGGCCCCCUUUUUUUGGGGUCGUUUUCCCUGCUUUCCGCACACCCCACACGGUUGUGGGUCGUUCCCCCCCCCCCAAAAUGAAUCCUAAAGUUGGGGAAAAAAAAAACCAAAAACCACAAAAAUGCCCAAAUCAAACGGCCGUUUGACCCUAAAAAAAUGAACCCCGGGCAAUGUGGCCCUUUGGGGGGCGUUUUUCUAUGGGGUUUUUUCCCUGCUUUCUGCAGACCCCCCCCCUGUAGGACCGCCCCCCCCCCCCCAUCUCAUUUUACUGUAUCCAAAAGUUGGGAAAAACCCAAAUCUGCCUUUUUUUGGGGGGGGCCGCUCCAAAAAUGGCUCUUUGGCACUUUCUGACCUCAAAAAUAAAAGCCCUGUGGCCCUUUUUUGGGGGCCUUUUUGGGGCCGUUUUUGGCCCUUUUGGGGUCUUUUUCGGCCUUUCUUGGCCCUUUUGGUGCCUUUUGGGGGUAAUUUUGGCCCUUUUGGAGUCUUUUUUGGUCUUUCAGGGGCCUUUUCUGGUCUUUCUGGGGUCUUUUUUGGCCUUUGUGGGGUCUUUCUUGGCCAUUUUGGGACUUCUUUUGGCCAUUUUGGGGCCUUUUCUGGCCUUUCUGGGGCCCUUUUUGGCCUCGCCGGCUGCUUGCAGCAGAGCCCCCACAGGACGCUCCCCCCUCCCUUUCUCCUCUCUCUCUUCAUUGCUUUUUUU
rnacentral:lncRNA from 1 species